rnacentral:misc_RNA from 1 species
ACAAAAAUAAUUAUCAGGAAGUAGUUAUGCACAUGAAAGAUCUUCAAUCUGAUGACUCAUUGAGUUGAUCUCACGUAUUUUGAUUGACAAGUAGUACUAAUUUGUGUAGUGCAAUGACGAGAGGAUCAUAUUCUGAUACCAUAUGCCAUGUAGUAUACAGAUUCAAUUAAUGGCUUGUUGGUGGUUAUGUUUGCGCACAACUCGGGCUUUAAAUAUCUACGUGACAGAUCCCAAUCACAUUUUUAAAUACAAAAUCUACAACUAUCAUUAUUCAAAAUUCAUCCAUACCCACAGAUAGAAUGAAUUCGAGCCCUUGGGCAUGCAAAUAAUCAGUAAAUUGUGGCUGAAUCCUAAAUGAAAACUGCAAAUCCUGUCUCAGACAACAGCGCGACCCUAACCUAAAACUGUCUUGUUUGGAAUGAGAGGUCAAUGAGAUAGAGUACCUUUAUACCAGAAUAGUAAUGGAAACAAAUAUUGAUACAGGAUUCAAAGUUAAGAAUGACUCUCCGGCAACGGAACACGCUUCCAAUUGUCAAGAGUAUGUUGAUCAGUUUUCAUCUCCAUACGUCAAAGAAGAAUUGCCUUAUAUCAGCGAGGAACUUGUUCACACUAACACUUUCUCUCGAUGCACACAGGCUGGGCGUCUUAAGGAAUGUAUACGGCCACAGGACCAAAAAAUUACUGGAUUUGGAACAAAGGAUGAUUUUGCAGAUAAUGAAACAUCGUCGGAGAACAAUUUCAAUUGCAGAAAUGGAAGAUCGAGCAGCAUUUUUUCGUGGGAUUCUUUAAUGAAAUCGUGGCAGGAUCCUCCAACUCACUGCGAUAGAGAUGUUUCAAAAAGUAACACUGUAAUGGAAAAUAAUUACAAGUACACAGUUCGUUCUGACCAAGAACAGUCAAGUACUUCCACCGAAAAUGUUAUGCCUGGACAAUCAAAUGAUUUUGCACAAGCUGAAAAAGAGGUAGAAGAAGACAGGGCGCAAUGUGAACUUUGUAAAAAAUGGGUCAGAAAAAGCUACUUGAUACGUCAUACCAGAGGGCAUUAUGCAAAGAGAACUCAUAAGUGUCCCCAACCGAAUUGCAAUAAGUCUUUUAUACAAAAAUCGAAACUCCUAGCUCACACUCAGGUACACAACGGCACUAGACCGUACCAAUGCAACAUUUGUCAGAAGAAGUUUUCCCAGAGUUCCCACUUGACUGUUCAUAUAAGUGUUCAUACAGGUGAAAAACCAUUUGAAUGUAACAUUUGCAACAGGAAAUUUACCCAGAAAUCCGCAUUGACUGUACACUCCUUAAUUCAUACUGGACAGAAAUCCUAUGAAUGCGGUGUUUGUCAAAAGUUUUUCAGACAAAAAUCACAUCUGACUGUUCACAUGAAGUUUCAUGCUGGUAUUAAACCAUAUGGUUGUACCAUAUGCAGUAAAUCGUUUACUAGAAAGUCGAGUUUAAAUCGACACGAGUUAACUCAUAGUAAAAUGAAACCACAUAAGUGUCGUAUCUGCAAAAAAUCGUUUAUACAAAAAUCGAACUUGAGCCGGCACAUACAAACUCACAUGGAGCACGGUGUAACGAAUGAAUUUGUUGAGUGUAUAUUGCCGGAAAUGAAAACCGACCAAUUAUAUCGUACUUGAAUGUGAUUGUUAUAUUGUAUAUUUUACAAGAAAUGUUAUUUAUUAUUAUCACAACAGAUUGCAAUAUGACUUUGUUAUUCGCAUUCUACGUAUUAUGUAAAAAACAUGUAUGUGCAUAUUGAUUAUGAAAAACGUUUUCAAAGUUGAUGUUGAGAUGUGCUAAUUCUCACGACAGAGCUCAUAAAGAUUUCAUGUUCUUGUGGGAAUUUGAUAACAGGAAAUAUAACUCCUGAAAAAAACAGAUCUGCAUAUGCCUGAGACAGUCUCAACUGAUUAACAAUGUAUUGAAUUCAAGAUUCAUUGAAAUCUCCGACAAAGAUGUCUUGCUGUCGAAGAAUUUACACUUAAUCAAUUCUCAUCACCUUUCAGAUAUGUAAAUGUUAUUACAUCAAAUAUGUUUAUACCUAGUACGAAUAUUGAAUCUUCCGUUGUACAGUAAUUAGGAAUCUAAGAUAAAAGAUAUUGCAGGCCCUCGAAAUCAUGUCAUAAUAUACAUAUACAUCUAAUAAUACACGAUUUUUUAAAACUACGAGGAAAGUAGUUUCAGUGCAUGUAUUUCCUCCAUUCGUUCAUAAUUUGAAAACGGUGCCUGCGCAACUAGCGAACGCGACCACUUUCGAGAACUGUGACUGCGCGGUGCCGCUGUAGCUAAUGCGUCAAAAUGGCUUCCAUCAGUGAAGAUACAACGAAAGAAAAUUUUUAUGAUACGUAUGACGGAAAAUUCCGCGAGCAGGAUAUACUACAUAAUGAGAAGGGCCCUGAUAUCCAUCUAAAUGAUCCGAGCGUUGAAAUUGGAGAGUCGACAUCCAGAUCAGUGAAAAAAACUUCCCGAGAAAUGCGAAAACAUUUAAAAAAUACAGGUCAAGAGUUUGUUAAUGCUGCUGGAAAAUUAGUACCUGCCAAAGUUUUUGUUAAUAAAUGUUGUGGCUGCCAACAAGGAUGUGCAAAAGUGAUCUCCGCUGCAAGACGCGAAAAACUAUUCAAUACUUACUACGAAAUUCCUUGGGAGGAAAAAACUACCUUCAUUAAACAGCACGUUCAAUUGAAGCAUGUUAACAGAAGAUAUUCCAAAAAAGAAGAGUCCAGGCGGACUUAUUCUAGGGUAUAUAGACUGUCUGAUGAAAAUGGGUCUCUAAAAAUUGUUUGUAAAAAAUUUUUCCUGGAUACUAUUGCCGUUAGUUGUAAAAGAGUAAAUGGAGCACUACAUAGAAAUAUUGUAUUUGGUGAAAUUGAACCUGAUAAGCGAGGAAGACAGAAAAAGGUGAAAA